AUUGAACGCUGGCGGCAGGCCUAACACAUGCAAGUCGAACGAGUGGCGGAAGGGUGAGUAAUGUCUGGGAAACUGCCUGAUGGAGGGGGAUCACUACUGGAAACGGUAGCUACAACCGCAUCCCAUCGGAUGUGCCCAGUUUGGAUUAGCUAGUAGGUGGGGUAAAGGCUCACCAGGGCGACGAUCCCUACCUGGUCUGAGAGGAUGACCAGCCACACUGGAACUGAGACACGGUCCAGACUCCUACGGGAGGCAGCAGUGGGGAAUAUUGGACAAUGGGCGAAAGCCUGAUGCAGCCAUGCCGCGUGUGUGAAGAAGGCCUUCGGAUUGUAAAGUACUUUAAGCGGGGAGGCGUUACCAGCAGAAGAAGCACCGGCUAACUCCGUGCCAGCAGCCGCGGUAAUAC
rnacentral:rRNA from 1 species